ensembl:lncRNA
AGUGCUGCUGCAGUCAAGGGUAGGGAGAGGCAUGGCGAGGCUGUAUCUGGAGUCAACCUGAAGGCCGUAGUUCCUGCAGCAAUGGCACUGAAGGGUUCAGAGAAGAACACACGGAGAUGCUGGGAGGGUGGCGUGAUCAGAGAGGACUUGGAGACUCCACAUCCUGCCCUCCACACCUUGCCCUAUGCAUCUCUUCUAUCUGGCUGUUCCUGAACUUGUAUCCUUUAUGAUAAACCGGAAAUAGUAAGUAAGGCUGGGUGCAGUGGCACAUGCCUGUAGUCCCAGCUACUCAGGAGACUGAGGCUGGAGGAUCGCUUGAGCCCAGGAGUUCGAGGCUACAGCGAGCACCAUUGCACUCCAGACAGAGACACACUGUCUCAAAAAAAAAAAAAAAAGUGGGCUCCAUGUAAUCACAAGGGUCCCUGAAGAUGGAAGAGAAAGGCAGAAGGAGAGUAUCAGAGGGAAAUGCCACUACAGAAGAAUGCUCAGAUGCAACCGCGCUGGCUUUGAACAUGGAGGAAGAGGUCUCAAGUCAAGGAAUGUGAGUAGUCUCUGGGAAUCAGAAAAGGCAAUGAUACAGGCUCUCUGCUAGGGCUUCCAGAAAGGAACAUGGCCCCAUGUUCCCCUUGAUUUUAGCCCAGUGAUACCCACAUCAUACUUCUGUCCUGAAGAACUUUAAGAUACUACACGUGUGUCGUUGAAGCCAGUGAAUUUGCGGUAAUGGUACAGCAGCAAUGGAGAAGUAAUAUACUGCAACACCCACACGCCACAUUUCACCAAUCAGUGACAUCUGCAUAACCACUUUCCAGACCACAGAUGGGAACCAAACAGACCUGGACCCAAGUCGGGGCUGGGAUCCUGACUGUUCUGACCUUGGGCCAGUCAUCUCUCUGCCUGGAGGUGGUGAGAGCUGAGGAUAUAAUGGGCUAAUGGAGGUAGUGGGAAUGGACAUAGAGGGCUUAGCUCAGUAUAGCUGGGACUUCGUGCAUGUAGGUAUCGGCUGUCCUGGUUGCAGUCAGCAAGGUCCUUCUUUUACUCUGAGUUACUGGAGGGGCCACAACUGGUGAGGUGACCUGGAGCCUGACUCCUAUAUCCUUGUGGUAAAAAGAAAGAGAGAUCAGCCUGUUACUGUGUCUAUAUAGAAAGAAGUAGACAUAAGAGACUCCAUAUUGUUCUGUAUUUGAGAUGCUGUUAAUCUGUGACCCUACCCCCAAUCUUGUCCUUGCAAGAGACAUGUGCUGCGGUGACUCAAGGUUUAAUGGAUUUUGGGCUGUGCAGGAUGUGUCUUUGUUAAACAAGUGCCUGAAGGCAGCUUGCUGGUUAAAAGUCAUCACCAUUCUCUUAAUUUCAACUACCCAGGGACAUUUACAUGGCCAAAGGUCGCAGGGACCUCUGCCUAGGAAAGCUAGGUAUUGUCCAAGGUUUCUCCCCAUGUGAUAGGCUGAAACAAUGCUGCUAAAAGGUUUAUGGAGAUGUUUGCAUAUGCAUCUCAAGGCACAGCAUUUUCCUUUAAACUUAUUCAUGUCACAGAGAUUUCUGUUCAUAUGUCUUACUGCCGAUUUCCUCCCUACAAUGAUCCUAUUGUCCUGCCACUCCCUUAUCUUUAAGAUGGUAAAGAUAAUUAUCAAUAAAUACUAAGGGAACUCAGAGACCGGUGCCGGCGUGGGUCCUCUGUAAGCUGAGCGCAGGUCCCCUGGGCCCACUUUU